AUUGGGGUGGCAGAGACAGGUACAUGCAUAAGACCUAAACCCUUAGUUCAAAAGUUCAAAUCUUUUCCCUAAUA
rnacentral:tRNA from 1 species